rnacentral:rRNA from 1 species
GAAAAAUUAGCGGAUGACCUGUGGCUGGGGGUGAAAGGCCAAUCAAACCGGGAGAUAGCUGGUUCUCCCCGAAAGCUAUUUAGGUAGCGCCUCGUGAAUUCAUCUCCGGGGGUAGAGCACUGUUUCGGCUAGGGGGCCAUCCCGGCUUACCAACCCGAUGCAAACUGCGAAUACCGGAGAAUGUUAUCACGGGAGACACACGGCGGGUGCUAACGUCCGUCGUGAAGAGGGAAACAACCCAGACCGCCAGCUAAGGUCCCAAAGUCAUGGUUAAGUGGGAAACGAUGUGGGAAGGCCCAGACAGCCAGGAUGUUGGCUUAGAAGCAGCCAUCAUUUAAAGAAAGCGUAAUAGCUCACUGGUCGAGUCGGCCUGCGCGGAAGAUGUAACGGGGCUAAACCAUG